ACKGCUCAGUAACACGUUGGCUAACCUGCCCUCGAGACGGAGACAACCCCGGGAAACUGGGGCUAACCCCCGAUAGACGAAGAGCCCUGGAAUGAGCCUUCGCCCAAAAAGCACCCAGGCUACGCAUCUGGAUGCCGCUCGAGGAUGGGGCCGCGACCGAUCAGGCAGUUGGUGAGGUAACGGCUCACCAAGCCUAUAACCGGUGCGGGCCGUGGGAGCGGGAGCCCGGAGAUGGGCACUGAGACAAGGGCCCAGGCCCUACGGGGCGCAGCAGUCGCGCAAACUUUGCAAUACACGAAAGUGUGACAGGGCUAUCCCGAGUGCCGUCCGCUGAGGAUGGCUUUUACCCAGUCUAGAAAGCUGGGAGAAUAAGGAGAGGGCAAGUCUGGUGUCAGCCGCCGCGGUAAUACCAGCUCUCCGAGUGGUGUGGAUGUUUACUGGGCCUAAAGCAUCCGUAGCUGGCCAGGCCAGUCCCCUGUUAAACCCACCGAAUUAAUCGUUGGAUUGCGGGGGAUACUGCCCGGCUAGGGGACGAGAGAGGCAGACGGUAUUCUCGGGGUAGGGGUGAAAUCCUAUAAUCCCGGGAAGACCACCAGUGGCGAAGGCUGUCUGCUAGAACGAGCCCGACGGUGAGGGAUGAAAGCUGGGGGAGCGAACCGGAUUAGAUACCCGGGUAGUCCCAGCUGUAAACGAUGCAGGCUAGGUGUUUGGGCGGCCACGUGCCGCUCUAGUGCCGCAGGGAAGCUGUUAAGCCUGCCGCCUGGGGAGUACGAUCGCAAGGUUGAAACUUAAAGGAAUUGGCGGGGGAGCAC
rnacentral:rRNA from 1 species